rnacentral:sRNA from 1 species
GAUCAUUAUCGAACAAGAAGGGGGAAAGACUGUCGCUGGCGAAAGCAUGUGCACGUCCAACCUUUUCUAUUACACACCCGUGCACCUUUUGUAGGUCCUCGAAAGAGGAUCUAUGUAUUUCAUCAUCACACCUAUCGUAUGUCUAGAAUGUCAUCGUCGACCACUGGGCGGCGAAAUAAAUAAUACAACUUUCAGCAACGGAUCUCUUGGCUCUCGCAUCGAUGAAGAACGCAGCGAAUUGCGAUAAGUAAUGUGAAUUGCAGAUUUUCAGUGAAUCAUCGAAUCUUUGAACGCACCUUGCGCUCCUUGGUAUUCCGAGGAGCAUGCCUGUUUGAGUGUCAUUAAAUUCUCAACCAUGACUUUGUUGACAUGGCUUGGAGUUGGGGGUUGCUGGCUUGUUUGUCAGCUCUCCUGAAAUACAUUAGCGGUGGACAAGCAAGGCCUUCCGACGUGAUAAUGAUCGUCGUGGGGCGGAGCAUCAACGUCUGUCUGCUUCUAAAUCCCAGAUGCCUUAGCUAGACAUCAUUUCGAACGCUUGACCUCAAAUCAGGUAGGACUACCCGCUGAACUUAAGCAUAUC